CCUACGGGAGGCAGCAGUGAGGAAUAUUGGUCAAUGGACGGAAGCCUGAACCAGCCAUGCCGCGUGCAGGAAGACGGCUCUAUGAGUUGUAAACUGCUUUUGUACAAGGGUAAACCUGAAUACGUGUAUUUAGCUGAAUGUACUGUACGAAUACGGAUCGGCUAACUCCGUGCCAGCAGCCGCGGUAAUACGGAGGAUCCAAGCGUUAUCCGGAUUUAUUGGGUUUAACGGGGGCGUAGGCGGAUUGAUAAGUUAGAGGUGAAAUGUCCGAGCUUAACUCGGGAACUGCCGCUAAUACUGGCGAUCUAGAGAGUAGAUGCGGUAGGCGGAAUGUAUGGUGUAGCGGUGAAAUGCUUAGAGAUCAUACAGAACACCGAUUGCGAAGGCAGCUUACCAAUCUAUAUCUGACGUUGAGGCACGAAAGCGUGGGGAGCAAACAGGAUUAGAUACCCCAGUAGUC
rnacentral:rRNA from 1 species